rnacentral:lncRNA from 1 species
GGUGUCCUAAUGAGAACAGAGAAAUUUGAACACACUUGGGGCAGAAUGCCAGGUGAACACACACAGGAACAAUGCCACGGGAACACACACAACGGGGAGAACGCCAUGUGAACACACAGAGGGGAGAACGCCAGGUGAACGCACAUGGAGGGGAGAACGCCGGGUGAACGCACACAGGUGGGAGAACGCCAGGAGAACGCACACAGAGAGGAGAACGCCGGGUGAACGCACACAGUCGGGAGAAUGCCGGGUGAAUGCACAAAGGGGAGAACGCCCAGUGAACGCACAGAGGGGAGAACACCGGAUGAACGUACUCAGCGGGGAGAACUCCAGGUGAUCGCACACAGAGGGGAGAACGCCUGGUGAACGUACACAGGGCGAUGCAUGCACACAGGCGCGGGUUGAACGCACACAACGGGGAGAACGCCAGGAAUCCCAAGGUGCUGGUAUUAACACCUUGGGAUUAGAAUUUCAACACAGGAGAGAACCUCCAGUGAGCGCACAGAAAGAAGAACGCCACAGGAACGCACAGUGGAGAGAAUGCCAUGUGAAGGCACAAAGAACGGAGAACGCUGCGUGAACGCACACACGUGGGGGAGAAAGCCAGGGGAACGCACAGAGUAAAUAGAACGCAAUGGGAACGCACAGGAAAGAGAACGCCACGGGAACACACCGGGGGAGAACGCCAGGAGAACACACUGAGGAGAGAACUCCGCGUGAACACAAUGCGGGAGAACUCCAGGUCAACGCACGGAGAGGAGAACGCCUGCUGAAUGCACGGGGUUGGAGAACGCCGGUGAACGCCGGUGAACGCACGGGGAAGAGAACGCCACGUGAACACACGGGGGAGACGCCGCACGAACACACAGAAGGGAGAAUGCCGGGUGAACACACACGGGGGAGAACGCCCACGCGAACGCACAGGGUAGAGAAUUCCGGGUGAAGGCACAGGAGGGAAACGGCGCGCGAACGCUCAGCGGGGAGAACGCCUGGUGAAUGCACGGGAGGGAGAAGGCCAGGUGAACGCACAGGGGGAAAAUGCCGCGCUAAAGCACACGGGAAAUAACGCCGAGCAAACACACAGGUGGGAGAACGUCGCACGAACGCACAGCGUGGAGAACGCGACGUGAACGCACACGGGGAAGAACACUGCGCGAACGCACAGCAGGGAGAACGCCACUUGAAAGCAAAGUGAGGGGAGAAUGCCGCGUUGAACGCACAGUGGGGAGAACAACCCGCGAACUCAUAAAGGGGAGAACGCAGCGUGAAAGCACACAGCGGGGAGAACGCCUGGGGAACGCAAAGAGUAAAGAGAAUGCCUUGGGAACGCACAGGAGAGAGAACGCAACCUGAACACACGGUGGGGGCUGGAGGAAGAACGUCGGGAGAUCACACAGGGAGGAGAACGCCAGGUGAACGCACAAGAGAAAACGCCUGGUGAACGCGCAAAGAAAGGAGAAAGCCAGGUGAACGCACAGGGAGAACGCCGCACAACCGCACAGGUAGGAGAAAGCCAUGUGAACGCACAAAGAAAGGAGAACGCUGAGUGAACGCACACAGGGCCGAGAACGCCAGGGGAACGCACACAGUAAAGAGAACACCGAGAACGCCGUGGGAACGCACAGGAGAGAGAACGCCACGUGAACACACGAGGGAGAACGCCGCGGGAACACACAGAAGGGCGAAUGCCCGGCGAACGCACAGAGGGGAGAACGCCAGGGGAACACGCACGGGGGAGAACGCUGCGCGAUCACACAGCGGGGAGAACACCGGGUAAACACACACUGGGGAAAACACCGCGUGAACGCAUAGAGGGGAGAACCCCGGGUGAACACACAGAGGGGAGAGCUCCGUGUGAACACAAAGGGAGGAGAACGCCUGGUGAGCACACACGGGGAGAGAACACCGCGCGGACCCACAAGGGGGAGAAUGCCUGGUGAACGUACAGCGGGAGGGGAGAACGCUGGUGAACGCACAGCGGGGAAAACGCCAUGUGAACGCACAAAGGAAGGAGAACGCCAGGUGAACUCAUACAGGGGGUAGGAACGCCAGAGGAAAGCACACAGUAAAGAGAAGGCCGUGGGAACGCGCAGGGGAGAGAACGCCGGGAGAACACAGAGGGAGGAAAAUGCCAGGUGAACGCACAAGGGGGAAAACGCCUGGUGAACGCACAAAGGAGAAAGCCAGGUGAACGCACAAGCAGCAGAACGCCAAGUGAACGCACGAGGGGAGAAUGCUGCGCCAACACACACGGGAAACACAACCGCGCGAGCACGCAGUGGGGAGAACGGCACGCGAACGCUCAGCAAGAAGAACGUAAGUUGAACGGACAGCGGGGAGAACGCCGCCCUAACACACGCGGGAAAUAACGACGCGUGAACACACAGCAGGGAGAACGCCGCGUGAAAGCACAGGGGGGAGAACGCCGCGUGAAUGCACACACGGGAAAUAACGCCGUGUGAACACACAGCGGGGAGAACGCCGCGUGAACGCACACAGGGGAAAUAACGCCGCGCGAACACACAGGGGGAAGAACGUCACAGGGACGCACAGUGGGGAAACGCCAUGUGAACGCACAAAGAAAGAACGCCACGUGAACUCGCACACGCGGGGAGAACGCCGGGGAAACGCACACAGUAAAGAGAACGCAGUUUGAACGCACAGGGGAGAGAACGCCACGUGAACACACAGAAGGGAGAAUGCAGUGCGAACACACAGAAGGGAGAACACCUGGUGAAGGCACAGAGGGGAGAACGCCGAGCGAACGCACAGGGUGGAGAAUGCCAUGUGAACGCACAAAGAAAGGAGAACCCCUGGUGAACGCACACAGGAGAAAGAAUGCCGAGGAACGCACAGAGUAAAGAGACCGCCGUGGGAACACACAGGGGAGAGAACGCCACGUGAACACAUGGGGAGAACGCCGCGGGAACACACAGAAGGGCGACCGCCUGGUGGAUGCACAGAGGGGAGAACGCCAGGGGAACACACACAGGGGAGAACGCUGGGCGAUCACACAGGGUGGAGAACGCCGGGCCACUGGAAGGGGUUCAUGGCACAAAAAAAGAUGCAGCCCAGCAAUAAGGUGAAAGAGAGAUGACGGAGCCACUGGACACAAGAAGCCUUGCACCCUGAGUCACCCCGUGGAGCACUGACGAGCCUCGGCUCCUGAUUCAUUAUGCGGAGUGCUGCCUAGUACCAGGAGCAACAGCACUGGACAGGGACAUGAGUAAGAAAUAAAACUUCCAGAGCGUGAAGCUAGUGAAAUGAUGGGAUGUGUUUAUCACAGGGCUAGCAUCAUCCUAACCAGCAUGGAGACAUGCGGGGCUGUGAACGGGAGCCUAGAGCUGCAAAUUAGACAAGCCUGGGCCAGGAGACCUUUUGCAGGCUGCAAAGCUGCUCUCUCCUUUGCCUCCUCUGUACCUCAAAGGACCUGGGGUGGUGAAGGGAGUUGUGGGCCGACCUGAGGCAGCCGGAUCCCAGCUGGAACUCCGCCACAUCCCAGGAAUGUGAAUACCAGUGGAAUCCGGAUAGGACGGUGUGACCCAGGCACAGUGGGUCCCAGGGGACGCCAAUGCUGCGGGCUGAGGCCCACGCUGGAGGAACACCGGCCAGUGGGCAGCUUUGGGUGAACUUCAGAGUGGGUGGAAGCGCAGCUGCCCCGCCUGCCCCCACGGCUGCUGCGCGAUCAGGAAACACAGCACACUCCUAAGUGAGUCGUCACCAUGGUGACUUUUGGAUUCCCACUGCCAGUUCCUGUGGAGUCAGAGAGAUCUUAGCUCAGAAGUGCUGACAGCAGGGGCUGGCUGGCCACUGGCCACAUGGGAAGAGGAGAAAGGCAGCAGGAGCCACCGUGAGGCAAAUGAGCUACAAGACGCCGCUCCGUCUGAUUUCCCGCCACAGCUCCCAACACAGGUGAAAUGGCUCAGAACAGCUCAGCAUGUCCUACUGAGGGGCAGGAAGGAUGCUGAGAAAAUCCCAGGCAGCGGUCUCAGCUGGGAUGUAAUUUGAGGGCGAAAAAGUUGUGUUGCUUGCGGUUUCUUCCUUGCUCCUUGCAGGUUAUAUUUGAAAUGAAUGUCAGAGCCAUGCGGCCGCGUGUUAGGUUCCAGUGGAAUGAGGAACUGACAGUGGAGGAUGGCAGAGGCCUGGCAGGGCAUGUCAGCACUGAGGGGGAGGUGGCACCCCCAUCUGCAGGAGGGACAGCAGCACAGCUUGGUAACAUACACAUAGAUCAAUAAAAUAAGUGAAGACAAUGGGAGCCAGGUUUAUCAAUAUUAGGGAAAGUUACAAACAUGGACAGAAAGAAAACUAGAAUGAUCUCUGCAGUAUUAGAUUAGAAUUAAAAGCACUGGUGUGAACC